rnacentral:rRNA from 1 species
CGAAGGCAAGCGGAUCUCUUAAAGCCGUUCUCAGUUCGGACUGUAGGCUGCAACUCGCCUACACGAAGCUGGAAUCGCUAGUAAUCGCGGAUCAGCACGCCGCGGUGAAUACGUUCCCGGGCCUUGUACACACCGCCCGUCACACCAUGAGAGUCUGUAACACCCAAAGCCGGUGGGAUAACCUUUAUAGGAGUCAGCCGUCUAAGGUAGGACAGAUGAUUAGGGUGAAGUCGUAACAAGGUAAC